GAUUAAAAUAUUAGGAAUACUCGAUUUUUAUUAACUUAACCAUUUUUAUUUUUAUUUUUAUUAUAAUUUUUGUUUUUAGUUUAAUUUUUAUUUUCUAAUAUUUCUUUUAUUUGCUUCUGGCAGGUUUCUUUAGUUUAUGACUAGAAGAAACCCGUCGGGACCAUUAUUAUUUGGCAGUGAAAUUGAAAGUACAGCUCACAGAAACCGUAGAGAAGCAAGGCAAAGUCGUCAAAAUAUAUAGUAAACGAGCAAAAGGACAUUAUUAUUACUGAGG
rnacentral:lncRNA from 1 species